AUUCUUUGUGUGAAAUUUUAAAUUUUUUAAUUCAUUGUUUUAUUAAUGAGAUAUUUGUAUUAUGUUUAAAUAUAAGUGACAUUUUGUCUAUUGUGAAGUUAAUUUAUUUUACGGAUGAUGUAUCAGUAGUGUAAAUAAAUGUUCGGCAAUUUUAAAUCAUAGAGAUGUUGUCUCUAUUCUGAUGUAUCUGUACAAUGAUUGACAAACAUGCAAUCUUUUAUCUCUUAAAUUGAUGUAAUGAUCAUUCUUGCCCAUAUACACAUGAUAUACGGGUCAUUUUGCCAUACAUAUUGCAUUACGGUUUUGGUCAAGUUUUACUAUUGUGGUAAUGACUUUUUAUGUCUCUGAUAUAUCAUUAUAUGUGCAUCACCUCUUUUCUGUAGUAUACAACACAUAUUUGGUACAUUUGAGUGAAUAUAAUCAGCAUAUCACCUCUGAGUAAAAUGAGUUAAAUGCUGUAUUUAGAUCCAUUUAUGGGUAAAGCAAUAUUGCAUAUCAUUGAUCUUUAACUGCACAAUCUCUGUAUAUAGUAUAUUGCUGUUCCACUACAUUCAGAUCACUAUGACCCAUAUAUAUUUACUCAUGAGUUAAUCAAUCAAGUUUUGUGUUUUGAUUUUUAGCUAGCUAAGAAUUCCACAAUGAUACAUAACUUAUUUUUCACAACCACAUUCAUCAUGUAUGUAUAGAAAAACUGAUUUCUAAAACAUCAAAGUGUCCCAUGUUUUUGAUAUGCUGGAGUUUAUGUGGUACAGAAAGGAUGUUUUGACAUUUCAACACUGCAGUGAAACACAGCAUUAUUCUGCAUCAAUUUGUAGGUCAGCAUUACAUUGAUUGAUUGAUUGUUGGUUGCUUUACGCCGCAUUAGGUCAGCAUUACAGAAAUUACUAGAAAAUGAUAAGGCAUUUAGAACAGUUAUGGUUUAUAUAUAUACAGUUUAAAGUUUAAUUAACAAACCAGAAAAAACACCAACAUAAAUCUUUAUCCAUAAGUAAUU
rnacentral:lncRNA from 1 species